AUUGAACGCUGGCGGCAGGCCUAACACAUGCAAGUCGAGCGGAUGAAGGGAGCUUGCUCCUGGAUUCAGCGGCGGACGGGUGAGUAAUGCCUAGGAAUCUGCCUGGUAGUGGGGAUUACGUUCGGGAACCGGCCCUUAUUCCCCCUUCGUUCUUGAGGAGGAAGUUGGGGGUUUUUCGACCUUCCCCCUUCCGGUUGACCUUGGUCGGAUUAGCUAGUUGGUGGGGUAAAGGCCUACCAAGGCGACGAUCCGUAACUGGUCUGAGAGGAUGAUCAGUCACACUGGAAAUGAGACACGGUCCAGACUCCUACGGGAGGCAGCAGUGGGGAAUAUUGGACAAUGGGCGAAAGCCUGAUCCAGCCAUGCCGCGUGUGUGAAGAAGGUCUUCGGAUUGUAAAGCACUUUAAGUUGGGAGGAAGGGCAGUAAGUUAAUACCUUGCUGUUUUGACGUUACCAACAGAAUAAGCACCGGCUAACUUCGUG
rnacentral:rRNA from 1 species